rnacentral:rRNA from 1 species
GAUGAACGCUGGCGGCGUGCCUAAUACAUGCAAGUCGAGCGAACAGACGUGGAGCUUGCUCCUCUGACGUUAGCGGCGGACGGGUGAGUAACACGUGGAUAACCUACCUAUAAGACUGGGAUAACUUCGGGAAACCGGAGCUAAUACCGGAUAAUAUAUUGAACCGCAUGGUUCAAUAGUGAAAGACGGUUUUGCUGUCACUUAUAGAUGGAUCCGCGCCGCAUUAGCUAGUUGGUAAGGUAACGGCUUACCAAGGCAACGAUGCGUAGCCGACCUGAGAGGGUGAUCGGCCACACUGGAACUGAGACACGGUCCAGACUCCUACGGGAGGCAGCAGUAGGGAAUCUUCCGCAAAGGGCGAAAGCCUGACGGAGCAACGCCGCGUGAGUGAUGAAGGUCUUCGGAUCGUAAAACUCUGUUAUUAGGGAAGAACAAAUGUGUAAGUAACUAUGCACGUCUUGACGGUACCUAAUCAGAAAGCCACGGCUAACUACGUG